AUGGCGUGCCUGGGCCGCCAGGGUUUCCAGGCCCGAGAGGACCAAAAGGUGACACUGGUGUGCCUGGAUUUCCAGGACUCAAAGGGGAACAGGACUGCCUUUCCUCACCAGCGGAGUGGUAAGAUCCUAAUAUCAGGUGUGGGCUUAGGGGGACAGAGAGAAGAGGCUGCUCUGCUUGCUUUGGCUGCUUCUGGCCCCACUGAAGGGAGACUUGAACAUGGUCCCGCUCAGCUCCCCAGGAGCCAGCAUGGAAAUCUGGGGCCAAAACCUCAGAGUGAUAUAGAACGUUCCUCUAUCUGGCCUUUUCUUGGUACACGUAUCUUCUUGGAAGCCUUUGGUUUAGUCGAUGGCUCUGCUGAGGACAAGAUCCUGUGUCCCUGUGACCCAUCGGCCCAUCUCCCCUGUUUCCCAACAACUGAGAAGCUUUGCCUGGUCCAGUUUGCACAGGAGCCUGGAGUUUGGAGGCAAAGUUCCAGAUGGAGACACAGGGGCCUUUGCUGAGAGAGGCCUCUAGUGUUUAUACCUUCAUCUCUCUCCCAAUUUCAGACUUUUAACAAGAAUAAAGAUUCUUGGUAGGAACAGAUCUCAAGUUGAGUUGUUAGGAAAGCAAGCCAUGAAAUACAUUAGGAACCAGAGGUUCCCGGGGGAUGCUGUGCAGCAAGAGGUGGGAAGGACCUUGUGGGGCUGAUUCCUAGAGAGUGAGGAUGCCGAUCUGUCAGCAGUGGGAGCCCUGGAGCGGCUGGCAGUACCCCGGCCUGUCACAGUGCAGGGAGGGAAGAGCUCAGAGAAUGGAAUACCCUUAGGAGGGUAUUACAGUACUGUAGCAAAAGUCAUGUCUGAGCCAAGCAGUGGGGUUGGAGGGGUGGGAUGAAGGCAACAGGAAUCAUGGCAGUGGGACUGAGAGUCUUUGGUGAGCCUCUGGUGGCGAGGAGCCCAACUUCAUUGAAAGGUUCUCUGAA